AUUGAACGCUGGCGGCAGGCCUAACACAUGCAAGUCGAACGAGUCGCGCACGGGUGAGUAACGUCUGGGAAACUGCUUGAUGGCGGGGUAUAAUUACUGGAAACGGUAGCUAACACCGCAUACCAUCAGAUGGUCCCUAAUGGGCUUAGCUAGUUGGUGGGGUAACGGCUCACCAGGGCGACGAACCCUAGCUGGUCUGAGAGGAUGACCGGCCACACUGGAACUGAGACACGGUCAAGACCCCUACGGGAGGCAGCAGUGGGGAAUAUUGCACAAUGGGCGCAAGCCUGAUGGAGCCAUGCCGCGUGUAUGAAGAAGGCCUUCGGGUUGUAAAGUACUUUCAGCGGGGAGGCGUUACCCACAGAGGAAGCACCGGCUAACUCCGUGCCAGCAGCCGCGGUAAUUC
rnacentral:rRNA from 1 species